rnacentral:rRNA from 1 species
UCUUCCCUCUCUCUUCAUGCUUAAUACAUGCAAGUCGUGGGGCAGCAGGACUGUAGCAAUCCAGUUGCUUGCGACCGGCACGCGUGUGCGGAACACGUACGCAACUUACCCUGAACUGGGGGAUAUCCCGGGGAAAGCCGGAUUCAUACCCCGUAAUAUUGUGGCGUGGCGUCACUUUAUUAUUGAAGCUCUUGCAGUUCGGUAUGGGCGUACGGCUGCUUAGGUAGUUGGUUGAGGUAACGGCUCACCAAGCCUACGAUCAGUAACUGGUGUGAGAGCACGACCAGUCACACGGGAGCCGAGAUACGGGCGCGAACCCUACGCGAGGCAGGAGUAAGGAACAUUAGGCACUGGAGGCAACUCUGACACCGCCAUGCCGCGUGGAGGAGGCAUGCCCUCUGGGUAGUAAACUUCUAUUAUAGGGGAUGAAACCAGUGUAGUCUUACGAAGUUGACGGUACCCAAGGAAUAAGCACCGGCUAACUCCGUG